rnacentral:rRNA from 1 species
AGCGAACAGAUAAGGAGCUUGCUCCUUUGACGUUAGCGGCGGACGGGUGAGUAACACGUGGGUAACCUACCUAUAAGACUGGGACAACUUCGGGAAACCGGAGCUAAUACCGGAUAAUAUGUUGAACCGCAUGGUUCAAUAGUGAAAGAUGGUUUUGCUAUCACUUAUAGAUGGACCCGCGCCGUAUUAGCUAGUUGGUGAGGUAACGGCUCACCAAGGCAACGAUACGUAGCCGACCUGAGAGGGUGAUCGGCCACACUGGAACUGAGACACGGUCCAGACUCCUACGGGAGGCAGCAGUAGGGAAUCUUCCGCAAUGGGCGAAAGCCUGACGGAGCAACGCCGCGUGAGUGAUGAAGGUCUUAGGAUCGUAAAACUCUGUUAUUAGGGAAGAACAAACGUGUAAGUAACUGUGCACGUCUUGACGGUACCUAAUCAGAAAGCCACGGCUAACUAC